GGUCUUGUAGCUCAAAAGGUUAGAGCACUACACUGAUAAUGUAGAGGUACGUGGUUCAAUUCCACGCAAGACUA
rnacentral:tRNA from 1 species